AACAAUAUAACUCAGUUGGUAGAGCAUGGUGCUGAUGAUACCAAGGUUGCAGGUUCGAUCCCCAGCUGCAUAGGAGGUA